rnacentral:rRNA from 1 species
UACGAGAGGCCCAAACGUUAUUCGGAAUUACUGGGCUUAAAGAGUUCGUAGGCGGCAUUGCAAGUAGGGUGUGAAAGCCCUCGGCUCAACCGAGGAAUUGCGCUUUAAACUGCAGUGCUUGAGGAACCUAGAGGUGAGCAGAACAGAUGGUGGAGCGGUGAAAUGCGUUGAUAUCAUCUGGAAUACCGGAGGCGAAGGCGGCUCACUGGGAGUUUUCUGACGCUGAGGAACGAAAGCCAGGGUAGCGAACGGG